rnacentral:rRNA from 1 species
UUUUUCCUACGGGAGGCAGCAGUGGGGGAUAUUGGACAAUGGGGGGAACCCUGAUCCAGCGAUGCCGCGUGAGGGAAGAAGGUUUUCGGAUUGUAAACCUCUGUGGACAGGGACGAUAAUGACGGUACCUGUCAAGAAAGCCACGGCUAACUACGUGCCAGCAGCCGCGGUAAUACGUAGGUGGCGAGCGUUGUCCGGAAUUACUGGGUGUAAAGGGAGUGUAGGCGGGAAGGCAAGUCAGAAGUGAAAAUUAUGGGCUCAACCCAUAACCUGCUUGUGAAACUGAUUUUCUUGAGUGAAGCAGG